rnacentral:lncRNA from 7 species
GAUGGUAUUUCUGAAAGCGAUUAUCUUUUGAUGCUCCGGAACCAAUUUUCCUUAGUUGGAAAUAAAAUAUUUAACUAUCCAGAUUUUCUUUGGCAGAAUACAACUAGGCCAAGAAUGAUAAGUAAGUUUGACUGUGAUUACUUUUCACUUAUGUCCGUGUAUAGAAGCUAGUAAUGGAGCCAGAUAACUUAAUGUGUGUAAAAGCAUAAUGUUUGCACCAUAAAACAUUAGCUAUUUUUAAUAUUAUUUCUUGUCAUUUUUG